rnacentral:rRNA from 1 species
AUUGAACGCUGGCGGCAGGCCUAACACAUGCAAGUCGAGCGGUAGAGAGGUGCUUGCAUCUCUUGAGAGCGGCGGACGGGUGAGUAAUGCCUAGGAAUCUGCCUAGUGGUGGGGGAUAACGUUCGGAAACGGACGCUAAUACCGCAUACGUCCUACGGGAGAAAGCGGGGGAUCUUCGGACCUCGCGCCAUUAGAUGAGCCUAGGUCGGAUUAGCUAGUUGGCGAGGUAAUGGCUCACCAAGGCGACGAUCCGUAACUGGUCUGAGAGGAUGAUCAGUCACACUGGAACUGAGACACGGUCCAGACUCCUACGGGAGGCAGCAGUGGGGAAUAUUGGACAAUGGGCGAAAGCCUGAUCCAGCCAUGCCGCGUGUGUGAAGAAGGUCUUCGGAUUGUAAAGCACUUUGAGUUGGGAGGAAGGGUCGUAACCUAAUACGUUACGGCUUUGACGUUACCGACAGAAUAAGCACCGGCUAACUUCGUGCCAGCCGCCGCCGUAAAAC